CCGCGUGGGGGAUGACGGUCUUCGGAUUGUAAACCCCUUUCAGUAGGGACGAAGCGCAAGUGACGGUACCUGCAGAAGAAGCACCGGCUAACUACGUGCCAGCAGCCGCGGUAAUACGUAGGGUGCGAGCGUUGUCCGGAAUUACUGGGCGUAAAGAGCUCGUAGGCGGUUUGUCACGUCGUCUGUGAAAUCCCUCGGCUUAACCGGGGGCGUGCAGGCGAUACGGGCAGACUUGAGUACUACAGGGGAGACUGGAAUUCCUGGUGUAGCGGUGAAAUGCGCAGAUAUCAGGAGGAACACCGGUGGCGAAGGCGGGUCUCUGGGUAGUAACUGACGCUGAGGAGCGAAAGCAUGGGUAGCGAACAGGAUUAGAUACCCUGGUAGUCCAUGCCGUAAACGGUGGGCGCUAGGUGUGGGGUCCUUCCACGGACUCCGUGCCGUAGCUAACGCAUUAAGCGCCCCGCCUGGGGAGUACGGCCGCAAGGCUAAAACUCAAAUGAAUUGACGGAA
rnacentral:rRNA from 1 species